rnacentral:rRNA from 1 species
AGUAGAUGACGCUGGCGGCGUGCUAAUACAUGCAAGUCGAACGAGUUCUCGUUGAUGAUCGGUGCUUGCACCCGAGAUUCAACAUGGAACGAGUGGCGGACGGGUGAGUAACACGUGGGUAACCUGCCCUUAAGUGGGGGAUAACAUUUGGAAACAGAUGCUAAUACCGCAUAGAUCCAAGAACCGCAUGGUUCUUGGCUGAAAGAUGGCGUAAGCUAUCGCUUUUGGAUGGACCCGCGGCGUAUUAGCUAGUUGGUGAGGUAAUGGCUCACCAAGGCGAUGAUACGUAGCCGAACUGAGAGGUUGAUCGGCCACAUUGGGACUGAGACACGGCCCAAACUCCUACGGGAGGCAGCAGUAGGGAAUCUUCCACAAUGGACGCAAGUCUGAUGGAGCAACGCCGCGUGAGUGAAGAAGGCUUUCGGGUCGUAAAACUCUGUUGUUGGAGAAGAAUGGUCGGCAGAGUAACUGUUGUCGGCGUGACGGUAUCCAACCAGAAAGCCACGGCUAACUACGUGCCAGCAGCCGCGGUAAUACGUAGGUGGCAAGCGUUAUCCGGAUUUAUUGGGCGUAAAGCGAGCGCAGGCGGUUUUUUAAGUCUGAUGUGAAAGCCCUCGGCUUAACCGAGGAAGCGCAUCGGAAACUGGGAAACUUGAGUGCAGAAGAGGACAGUGGAACUCCAUGUGUAGCGGUGAAAUGCGUAGAUAUAUGGAAGAACACCAGUGGCGAAGGCGGCUGUCUGGUCUGUAACUGACGCUGAGGCUCGAAAGCAUGGGUAGCGAACAGGAUUAGAUACCCUGGUAGUCCAUGCCGUAAACGAUGAAUGCUAGGUGUUGGAGGGUUUCCGCCCUUCAGUGCCGCAGCUAACGCAUUAAGCAUCC